GAGUGCUGGAUUUUGAUAAGAAAAUGUGCUUGGGGUGGAGAGAUUAGGCAGUGGAGAAGGCACUUGCCUUGCAUGCUGCUGACCCAGGUUCAAUCCCCAGCACCUCAAACCUGCCAGGCAUGAGCUUUGAGCACAGAGCCAGGAGUACAGUCAACAUAUUUGGCUGCCUCUUUGGGAAUCCCAAGAUAAACCCCCUAAAAUCUGAGGCUGGUGGGAAAGCAGGGGGAGGCGCUGAGGGAGCCAUUGACUCUGACCCUGGUGUCCUAGCUCUGUCCCCUCCCAGUCUGAGGGCUGCCGCUGCUCCCUGGGCUCUCUGUGGUAAUGAUCCGGGCUGGAGCGAUAGCACAGCAGAUAGGGCGUUUGCCUUGCAACCUUCGAUUCCUCCGCCCCUCUUGGAGAGCCCGGCAAGCUACUGAGAGUAUCUCGCCUGCACAGCAGAGCCUGGCAAGCUUCCCGUGACGUAUUCAAUAUGCCAAACAGAGUAGCAACAAGUCUCACAAUGGAGAUGUUACUGGACCCUCUUGAACAAAUCGAUGAACAACGGGAGGACAGUGACAGUGACAGUAUUUCGUACCUGUGAGGUACGAAAGCAGACCCGUGAGGUGGGUGGGAAACAGAGAACAAUUGUGAAGGGAAAGUCACGCUGGUAGUGGAAUUGGUGUAGGAACAUCAAAUGCCCCCAAAAAGUGUAUUAUAAACA